UGGGGAAUAUUGCACAAUGGGCGAAAGCCUGAUGCAGCAACGCCGCGUGAGUGAUGAAGGCCUUCGGGUUGUAAAGCUCUGUCUUUUGGGACGAUAAUGACGGUACCAAAGGAGGAAGCCACGGCUAACUACGUGCCAGCAGCCGCGGUAAUACGUAGGUGGCAAGCGUUGUCCGAAUUUACUGGGCGUAAAGGAUGCGUAGGCGGAUUUUUAAGUGAGAUGUGAAAUACCCGGGCUUAACUUGGGUGCUGCAUUUCAAACUGGGAAUCUAGAGUGCGGGAGAGGAGAAUGGAAUUCCUAGUGUAGCGGUGAAAUGCGUAGAGAUUAGGAAGAACACCAGUGGCGAAGGCGAUUCUCUGGACCGUAACUGACGCUGAGGCAUGAAAGCGUGGGUAGCAAACAGGAUUAGAUACCCUGGUAGUCCACGCCGUAAACGAUGAGUACUAGGUGUAGGAGGUAUCGACCCCUUCUGUGCCGCAGUUAACACAAUAAGUACUCCGCCUGGGAAGUACGAUCGCAAGAUUAAAACUCAAAGGAAUUGACGGGGUC
rnacentral:rRNA from 1 species